UCAACGCUGGCGGCGUGCCUAACACAUGCAAGUCGAGCGCGAAAGUGGGCUUCGGCUCACGAGUAGAGCGGCGAACGGGUGAGUAACGCGUGGGUGAUCUGCCUCCGAGUGGGGAAUAACACUGGGAAACUGGUGCUAAUACCGCAUGACAUCCUCGGUUCGUUCCGAGGAUCAAAGCUGGGGACCGCAAGGCCUGGCGCUUGGAGAGGAGCCCGCGUCCGAUUAGCUUGUUGGCGGGGUAAUGGCCCACCAAGGCUUCGAUCGGUAGCCGGCCUGAGAGGGCGGACGGCCACACUGGGACUGAGACACGGCCCAGACUCAUACGGGAGGCAGCAGUGGGGAAUUUUUCGCAAUGGGGGAAACCCUGACGAAGCAACGCCGCGUGGAGGAUGAAGGCCCUCGGGUCGUAAACUCCUGUCGAUCGGGAAGAAUGCACUCGGCCGAAUACGCCGUUGUGUUGACUGUACCGGUGGAGGAAGCCACGGCUAACUCU
rnacentral:rRNA from 1 species